rnacentral:rRNA from 1 species
AUGCUGCGACAUCCGUGCCCGCGCGGCUGGCCUGCCCGACGCGCACCUGGUCUGCCUCGUGGGCAACAUGGUGACGGAGGAGGCCCUGCCAAGUUAUCAGAGCAUGGCGAACCGCUUCGAGGCCGUGCACGACCUCACCGGCUCCAGCGGCACCGCCUGGGCGCGCUGGACCCGCGGCUGGUCCGCCGAAGAGAACCGCCACGGCGGCUCAACAGGUACCUCUACCUCUCCGGGCGCGUCGACAUGCGGCAGGUCGAGAGGACCGUCCACAACCUCAUCCGGUCCGGGAUGGUCCUGAAAGCCGCCCGGAGCCCCUACCACGGCUUCAUCUACGUUGCUUUCCAGGAGCGCGCCACCUUCAUCUCCCAUGGCAACACCGCGCGGCGCGCCAAGGAGCACGGCGACGUGGCGCUCGCGCGCAUAUGCGGUGCCAUCGCCGCCGACGAGAAGCGCCACGAGCUGGCCUACACGCGCAUCGUGGCGAAGCUCUUCGAGAUCGACCCCGACGGCGCGGUGCGUGCGCUCGCCUACAUGAUGCGCCGUCGGAUCGUCAUGCCGGCGUCCCUCAUGACCGACGGCCACGACGGCCACCUCUUCACACACUACGGAGCUGUGGCUCACCAGGCCGGCAUUUACACGGCCUCCGACUACCGUGGCAUUCUGGAGCACCUGAUAAAGCAGUGGGGAGUGGAGGAGCUGGUGGCCGCCGGGCUCUCUGACGAGGGGAGGCGUGCGCGAGACUACGUGUGCGCACUCCCACAUAAAAUCCGAAGGUUGGAGGAGAAGGCCCACGAACGUGGCCGCCACAAGGCCCAGCCCACGACAUCCAUCCCAUUUAGCUGGAUCUUUGAUCGGCCCAUCAAAAUCACGGUUGCCUAG